CCAGUUGGCCGGGCAGCCGCGCUUCGCAAGGGUCGAAAGGCCGCGGGGUGAGGAAAGUCCGGGCUCCACGGAAAGACGGUGCCGGAUAACGUCCGGCGGGGGCGACCCCAGGGAAAGUGCCACAGAAAGCAAACCGCCGCACGGCGCGCCCCGCGCGCCGGAGCUGGUAAGGGUGAAAGGGUGGGGUAAGAGCCCACCGCGGGCCUGGCAACAGGAACGGCACGGUAAACCCCACCGGGAGCAAGACCGAAUAGGGAUGACGCGAUGGCGCCUUCGGGCGCCGUCAGCCUUUUCCGGGCCAGUCAUCCGGGUAGGUUGCACGAGGCGGCGCGCAAGCGUCGUCCCAGAUGAAUGGCUGCCACGUCCGGCUCUUCGAGCCGGGCCUUACAGAACCCGGCUUACAGGCCAACUGGCAAU
rfam:Rhizobium sp. MH17 scaffold10, whole genome shotgun sequence.